UUCAUUAUCCCCUACGAAGCUUUUCGUUUUUUAAGGAAAAAAAAACUCAUGAUUGUGCAUUCUCGAUAACUCAAUAGGAAUACUGCAUCUAUGUUUUCAUACAGAGAACAAAAACAAGGAGCAAUAAGGGGUGGUGCUUUCUUCUCCUAUCCAAGAGAAUAAUAAUGGAGAAAUAAAAGUGCUCAAACUGUGUUAACCGCGAUAUUCAGAACCUACUUACGUGCCGCUGUCAUCCGUGUUAUCCCGCAAAAUACCUCCUGUAAACUUUUCGUCUGCAUCCGAGCCCGUUUCUGAUUCAGGUUAGGCUCUAUUUUGUUAAACUGCUCAUGCAGUUGCACCUUAUAUCUACAUAUACCUACAUUCAAUUAAAAGAAUUAUUGGAUCUCUUCUUCUUUAAAUGUGUUAUGUUGUUUGUUGAAUCUUUCUAAUUUCUUUUUUUUUUUUUUUUUAAUAAUGGGGAUCAUCAGGUUAUUAAAGGGUUUACAGCAGAAAACUUAAAUGAAGUCCCUCCAAAAAAGGAGAUGGAGAAAAAGAAGUAGAUGAAUUGUAUCUUUCAGAUGGUCGAAAAAUGAAAAUAAUGAGAGGUAAAUCAAUAUUUCAAAGAUAAAAAUGAAAAUGAUAGUUGUUCAAGUCAAAUGUUUAUAAGUCAUCAGUAGCCUAUUCAAACAAGACAUAAAUAUAAAACUAAUAUGAUUGGUGUUUGUAUUUGAAUUUAAGGUAAAUAUCUUUUAAGUACUUAAGAUUAUCAUAAUUCUCAUUGGUUUUAUUUCAUACUCUUUGUUUGAUUAUUAUUUUUUAUUUCUUCAUCC
rnacentral:lncRNA from 1 species